GUCAUCUGGCUGAGACACCAGUCACCCCAUUGAUUACCAUGGUUUCUUUGGCUGUUCUGGCUCCCUAAGCAUGUGUCCCGUGCUCAUAGCUCAGAGCUCUGGGCUGGUCUAAGAGACUGGCUUUCCUUGACUGCAGAAGGAUCAUUCUUCCUUCGACGGUAUAUGAGUAGCGGAGGCUCCCUUGCUAGAAACUCCAAACAAGCUCACAAGUAUCUCAGUAAAAAUAAGGUUACAGAUUACUUAAUUUAAUUUCUUUUGUGAGCCAUACGUAGCUAUGCUCAGA
rnacentral:snRNA from 1 species